UACGUAGGGCGCAAGCGUUGUCCGGAAUUAUUGGGCGUAAAGAGCGUGUAGGCGGUCUGGUAGGUCCGUUGUGAAAACUCGAGGCUCAACCUCGAGACGCCGAUGGAAACCCUCAGACUAGAGUCCGGAAGAGGAGAGUGGAAUUCCUGGUGUAGCGGUGAAAUGCGCAGAUAUCAGGAAGAACACCCGUGGCUAAGGCGGGUCUCUGGGCCGUUACUGACGCUGAGGAGCGAAAGCGUGGGGAGCGAACAGG
rnacentral:rRNA from 1 species